rnacentral:rRNA from 1 species
UGGGGAAUAUUGGACAAUGGGCGCAAGCCUGAUCCAGCCAUGCCGCGUGAGUGAUGAAGGCCCUAGGGUUGUAAAGCUCUUUCACCGGUGAAGAUAAUGACGGUAACCGGCGAAGAAGCCCCGGCUAACUUCGUGCCAGCAGCCGCGGUAAUACGAAGGGGGCUAGCGUUGUUCGGAUUUACUGGGCGUAAAGCGCACGUAGGCGGACGUUUAAGUCAGGGGUGAAAUCCCGGGGCUCAACCCCGGAACUGCCUUUGAUACUGGAAGUCUUGAGUAUGGUAGAGGUGAGUGGAAUUCCGAGUGUAGAGGUGAAAUUCGUAGAUAUUCGGAGGAACACCAGUGGCGAAGGCGGCUCACUGGACCAUUACUGACGCUGAGGUGCGAAAGCGUGGGGAGCAAACAGG